rnacentral:tRNA from 2 species
GGCGACAUAGCCAAGUGGUAAGGCACGGGUCUGCAACACCCUUACCGCCGGUUCAAAUCCGGCUGUCGCCUCCA